rnacentral:rRNA from 1 species
GAUGAACGCUGGCGGCGUGCCUAAUACAUGCAAGUCGAGCGAACGGACGAGAAGCUUGCUUCUCUGAUGUUAGCGGCGGACGGGUGAGUAACACGUGGAUAACCUACCUAUAAGACUGGGAUAACUUCGGGAAACCGGAGCUAAUACCGGAUAAUAUUUUGAACCGCAUGGUUCAAAAGUGAAAGACGGUCUUGCUGUCACUUAUAGAUGGAUCCGCGCUGCAUUAGCUAGUUGGUAAGGUAACGGCUUACCAAGGCAACGAUGCAUAGCCGACCUGAGAGGGUGAUCGGCCACACUGGAACUGAGACACGGUCCAGACUCAUACGGGAGGCAGCAGUAGGGAAUCUUCCGCAAUGGGCGAAAGCCUGACGGAGCAACGCCGCGUGAGUGAUGAAGGUCUGCGGAUCGUAAAACUCUGUUAUUAGGGAAGAACAUAUGUGUAAGUAACUGUGAACAUCUUGACGGUACCUAAUCAGAAAGCCACGGCUAACUACGU